UUCGUUUGAUGAAGGCGACAU
ensembl:piRNA 21ur-1030 ncRNA